rnacentral:rRNA from 1 species
CAGCAGCCACGGGAAUACGGAGGGGGCUAGCGUUGUUCGGAAUUACUGGGCGUAAAGCGCACGUAGGCGGCUUGGUAAGUUAGAGGUGAAAGCCCGGAGCUCAACUCCGGAAUUGCCUUUAAGACUGCCGAGCUAGUAGGUGAGAGAGGUAAGUGGAAUUCCGAGUGUAGAGGUGAAAUUCGUAGAUAUUCGGAAGAACACCAGUGGCGAAGGCGGCUUACUGGCUCAUUCUAGACGCUGAGGUGCGAAAGCGUGGGGAGCAAACAGGAUUAGAUACCCCGGUAGUCCCUGUCUCUUAUAC